rnacentral:rRNA from 1 species
CCUACGGGGGGCUGCAGUAAGGAAUAUUGGUCAAUGGACGCAAGUCUGAACCAGCCAUGCCGCGUGGAGGAUGAAGGUCCUCUGGAUUGUAAACUUCUUUUAUCUGGGACGAAACACUCCUAUUCUUAGGGGCCUGACGGUACCAGAUGAAUAAGCACCGGCUCACUCCGUGCCAGCAGCCGCGGUAAUACGGAGGGUGCAAGCGUCAUCCGGAUUCACGGGGGUGUAGGGGGGUGUAGAAGUCUGUAGAGAAAUCCCCGAGCUUAACUUGGAAACUGCCGUUGAUACUAUACAGCUUGAGUAUCGUAGAGGUAAGCGGAAUAUGUCAUGUAGCGGUGAAAUGCUUAGAGAUGACAUAGAACACCAAUUGCGAAGGCAGCUUGCUAUGCGAUUAUUGACACUGAGGCACGAAAGCGUGGGUAGCAAACAGGAUUAGAUACCCCUGUAGUC